rnacentral:rRNA from 1 species
GACGAACGCUGGCGGCGUGCCUAAUACAUGCAAGUUGAGCGCUGAAGGUUGGUACUUGUACCAACUGGAUGAGCAGCGAACGGGUGAGUAACGCGUGGGGAAUCUGCCUUUGAGCGGGGGACAACAUUUGGAAACGAAUGCUAAUACCGCAUAAAAACUUUAAACACAAGUUUUAAGUUUGAAAGAUGCAAUUGCAUCACUCAAAGAUGAUCCCGCGUUGUAUUAGCUAGUUGGUGAGGUAAAGGCUCACCAAGGCGAUGAUACAUAGCCGACCUGAGAGGGUGAUCGGCCACAAUGGGACUGAGACACGGCCCAAACUCCUACGGGAGGCAGCAGUAGGGAAUCUUCGGCAAUGGACGAAAGUCUGACCGAGCAACGCCGCGUGAGUGAAGAAGGUUUUCGGAUAGUAAAACUCUGUUGGUAGAGAAGGACGUUGGUGAGAGUGGAAAGCUCAUCAAGUGACGGUAACUACCCAGAAAGGGACGGCUAACUACGUG